CCUACGGGUGGCUGCAGUCGAGGAUCUUCGGCAAUGGGCGCAAGCCUGACCGAGCGACGCCGCGUGCGCGAUGAAGGCCUUCGGGUUGUAAAGCGCUGUCGAGGGGGAGGAAAGCCCGCAAGGGCCUGACCUAUCCCUGGAGGAAGCACGGGCUAAGUUCGUGCCAGCAGCCGCGGUAAGACGAACCGUGCGAACGUUGUUCGGAAUCACUGGGCUUAAAGGGCGCGUAGGCGGCUCGCCAAGUCGGGGGUGAAAUCUUUCGGCUCAACCGGAAAAGUGCCUUCGAUACUGGCGGGCUAGAGGGAGGUAGGGGCAUGCGGAACUUCCGGUGGAGCGGUGAAAUGCGUUGAUAUCGGAAGGAACGCCGGUGGCGAAAGCGGCGUGCUGGACCUCUUCUGACGCUGAGGCGCGAAAGCUAGGGGAGCAAACGGGAUUAGAUA
rnacentral:rRNA from 1 species